rnacentral:lncRNA from 1 species
GAGCUUUUAGAAAGUGUGAUAGUGGCUGUGUAGCAGAGGGGUCUUCUUUCACUAGUACAUUUGAUGUGCCAGGAGUACAUGGGUGGUGUGUGCCAAAGGACACUUGAGAUUUUUUCCAUUGUCUCAUGGUGGAAUACUGGAGGACCACAGCAUGUUCCGAAGAGAUGAUUGGAAGAUGGAAGUGGAGGGUUAAAUAAUGAAAUGCAGCUAACAUUUCGGAAAGUUUCUAAAAGUUGUACAACAUGCCCUACAGCUACUCUUUAAAUCUCCAAAUCAAAUGAGUUUCAGGUGGAGCCUCUGGGAGGUGAUGAGGUCAUGAGAGUGGAGCCUCAUGAAUGGGAUGAGCACUCCUACAAAAAGGAUUCCAGAGAGCUCGCUUGCUCCUUCCACAGUGUGAGGACACAGAGGGAAGGCUCUGUCUAUGAAUGAGAAAGUGGGUCCCCACCAGACAUUGAAUCUGCCGCAUCUUGAUACUGGACUUCCAGUCUCCAGAACUGUGGGCAAUAAAUGUCUGUUGUUUAUUACCUGUCCAGUAUCUUUGGUAUUUUGCUAUAGCAACCCAAAUGGACUAAGAAAACACCAGAGGCCAUACCUAAUAAAAAUAUUGACAUCACAA